GAUGAACGCUAGCGGCAGGCUUAAUACAUGCAAGUCGAGGGGCAGCAUGACUGUAGCAAUACAGUUGAUGGCGACCGGCAAACGGGUGCGGAACACGUACAGAACCUUCCUUCGAGCGGGGAAUAGCCCAGAGAAAUUUGGAUUAAUACCCCAUAGUACAUUAGAGUGGCAUCACUUUGAUGUUAAAGAUUUAUCACUUGAAGAUGGCUGUGCGGCUGAUUAGGUAGUUGGCGGGGUAACGGCCCACCAAGCCUGCGAUCAGUAACUGGUGUGAGAGCACGACCAGUCACACGGGCACUGAGACACGGGCCCGACUCCUACGGGUGGCUG
rnacentral:rRNA from 1 species